AGUGAACGCUGGCGGUAGGCCUAACACAUGCAAGUCGAACGGCAGCACAGUAAGAGCUUGCUCUUACGGGUGGCGAGUGGCGGACGGGUGAGGAAUACAUCGGAAUCUACUUUUUCGUGGGGGAUAACGUAGGGAAACUUACGCUAAUACCGCAUACGACCUACGGGUGAAAGCAGGGGAUCUUCGGACCUUGCGCGAUUGAAUGAGCCGAUGUCGGAUUAGCUAGUUGGCGGGGUAAAGGCCCACCAAGGCGACGAUCCGUAGCUGGUCUGAGAGGAUGAUGAGCGACACUGGAACUGAGACACGGUCCAGACUCCUACGGGAGGCAGCAGUGGGGAAUAUUGGAGAAUGGGCGCAAGCCUGAUCCAGCCACACCGCGUGGGUGAAGAAGGCCUCCGGGUUGUAAAGCACUGUUGUUGGGAAAGAAAAGCAGCAGGUUAAUACCCCGCUGUUCUGACGGUAACCAGUGAAUAAGCACCGGCUAACUUCGUG
rnacentral:rRNA from 1 species